CAGUCGCCACGGUAAUACGGAGGGUGCAAGCGUUAAUCGGAAUUACUGGGCGUAAAGCGUGCGUAGGCGGUUCGUUAAGUCUGUUGUGAAAGCCCCGGGCUCAACCUGGGAAUGGCAAUGGAUACUGGCGAGCUAGAGUGUGUCAGAGGAUGGUGGAAUUCCCGGUGUAGCGGUGAAAUGCGUAGAGAUCGGGAGGAACAUCAGUGGCGAAGGCGGCCAUCUGGGACAACACUGACGCUGAGGCACGAAAGCGUUGGGAGCAAACAGGAUUAGAUACCCCCGUAGUCCCUGUCUCUUAUAA
rnacentral:rRNA from 1 species